GAUGAAGAACGUAGCGAAAUGCGAUAAGUAGUGUGAAUUGCAGAAUUCAGUGAACCAUCGAAUCUUUGAACGCACAUUGCGCCCUUUGGUAUUCCAAAGGGCAUGCCUGUUCGAGCGUCAUUUGUACCCUCAAGCUUUGCUUGGUGUUGGGCGUCUUGUCUCUAGCUUUGCUGGAGACUCGCCUUAAAGUAAUUGGCAGCCGGCCUACUGGUUUCGGAGCGCAGCACAAGUCGCACUCUCUAUCAGCAAAGGUCUAGCAUCCAUUAAGCCUUUUUUUUCAACUUUUGACCUCGGAUCAGGUAGGGAUACCCGCUGAACUUAAGCAUAUCAAUAAGCGGAGGA
rnacentral:misc_RNA from 1 species